CGGAGGGCAGUGGCCUCGAAGAGGGUGCCACCGAGCACGCAGCAACGCGGGUCCGGAGACAGCAACGGAGGACAGAACGACGGACGGGACACCACCAGGAGGAGGCGCUCCACUGGAACGAGCUAAUUCCCAGAGUCACCAGCAGGAGGCGCCGCUGGGAAUCACAUGAUGCUGGGAAUGAAAGUAAUCUUAAGAAACAGUGACUGACCUUGGCAUUUCAAUUGAUUUUCUUGGAUUGAAUGAAAGUACAAAGAGUAAACAAAAGAGAUAUCACCUAAAACAUUCAUUUGGUAAUUGUAUGGAAGUUAAAAACUAUCGGGUUGGGUUUUAUUUUUAGGCAUUUAAUGAAUCACCUGGGGACCUAUUUUAUUGCAUUUUAGCAAGAGUGGACUUGAAACCUACAAAAGUUUGUUCAUUUGGACUUUGUUCCCUCCUAUUAUUAUUCAUGACUGUCAGAGAAAGCCACUGAAUGGACCAGGAUUUACUUCUGUAGAUGAAACCAAGGAGACUAAACUGUUGUGUGCCAGAGACAGAGAACAAGAUAGAUCAAGAUGGCACAAAUGCCUGGAAACCCUGCAACAGCAGGGAAUUGAUUAGCUACAAUAUGCUCAGAUGAUCCUUGAAGAUAAGCCAUCUUCCAUGCUGCAGAAGAAGGAGAAAAAUUCACCAAAUCCUUGCCAAUCUGACCUGAGGAAAAACCUUCCUGACCCCCAAAGUGGCACUCAAUUUCACCCUAAGCAUGUGAGCAAGACAUAUCAGCCAGGCACCUCUGUACUACCUCAGAGCACAGGUCCACCCUAUUAGAUGACCCAUCUCCAGCUGUGGCCAACCCCUGAUGUUUCAGAAGUAGCCAAAAAAAAAACCCAGAAUACAUCUAGCCAACAGUUUAUUAGGGAAAAAUAUUCUUCUCUGACCCUUAAAGGUGACUGCUUGAAGCCCUGAAGCAUGAGAUUUAAUUACAGUCAUUGUCUUAAUGCAGAGCUGGAAGUGUUAUGAGCAAGUAGAGGGCAAUGUACAGCUUCUUGUUCUCUCUGUGCCCCAUGAAGGAAGAGAAUGAACAAAUGGAUUCAUAGAUUCACAGAUUCUAAAGAUGAGAAGAGACCACUGACCGUUCGCCUGAUCUUCUGCACACACAGGCUGUAGGAUUUCUCCAAGAAGCUGGAUUAAAGCUUUUUUAGAAAGAUGUUUAAUCUCUUUUAAAAGACUCCAAGUGAUGCAAUUCUUCAAUCAGCCCUCUCCUGAGGUGAUGAAAUAUAUAGGUUUUCCUGAGACAGUGAG